UACCGUUUACGGGGGGGAACGCGAAGAACCUUACCUACUCUUGACAUCCAGAGAACUUAGCAGAGAUGCUUUGGUGCCUUCGGGAACUCUGAGACAGGUGCUGCAUGGCUGUCGUCAGCUCGUGUUGUGAAAUGUUGGGUUAAGUCCCGCAACGAGCGCAACCCUUAUCCUUUGUUGCCAGCGGUUAGGCCGGGAACUCAAAGGAGACUGCCAGUGAUAAACUGGAGGAAGGUGGGGAUGACGUCAAGUCAUCAUGGCCCUUACGAGUAGGGCUACACACGUGCUACAAUGGCGCAUACAAAGAGAAGCGACCUCGCGAGAGCAAGCGGACCUCAUAAAGUGCGUCGUAGUCCGGAUUGGAGUCUGCAACUCGACUCCAUGAAGUCGGAAUCGCUAGUAAUCGUGAUCAGAUGUCGUGUCCG
rnacentral:rRNA from 1 species